rnacentral:rRNA from 1 species
UACGAAGGGAGCUAGCGUUGUUCGGAAUUACUGGGCGUAAAGGGCGCGUAGGCGGCUUGCACAGUCAGGCGUGAAAUUCCUGGGCUCAACCUGGGGACUGCGCUUGAGACGUGUGGGCUUGAGUGGGGAAGAGGGUCGUGGAAUUCCCAGUGUAGAGGUGAAAUUCGUAGAUAUUGGGAAGAACACCGGUGGCGAAGGCGGCGACCUGGUCCUUGACUGACGCUGAGGCGCGAAAGCGUGGGGAGCAAACAGG